AUGAGUUUGCAUUCUAUCUCUUUGGACGCUCCUUCUUGGACACAAGUGCAUCAGCAAACUGGUGCAGGUGCAAACAAACGCCCCGAGCUGGUUGCGGACAGUCUAGACAUCGACAACCUCGAGUUUUUAUCUGCAGUCCGAAAAGGCAUAUACUCGAAUUAUGCCCCAGUUAUUCCAAGACACCCGCAUUGGUUAUGUAAGCACUCAUUAACAUAUUAUUAUGCACAUCAAAAUUUUCUUGAUCUUAACUACAUAUUCAACUAUUUUGAGGAAUCAUAUCACCUCCAGGAUGCCAGAAAUAUUAGUUAA
rnacentral:rRNA from 1 species